rnacentral:pre_miRNA from 1 species
AAAACAGCGCGAACACAAGGACGAUGAAAAAAAGGAACCGCGGUGUGGUGUGUGUUCCUUUUUUUCACCGUCCUUGUGUUCGUGCUGUUUU